UACGGGGGGAGCAAGCGUUGUUCGGAAUUACUGGGCGUAAAGCGUGCGCAGGCGGUUUCUUAAGUCAGAUGUGAAAUCCCCGGGCUCAACCUGGGAACUGCAUUUGUGACUGCAAGGCUAGAGUACGGUAGAGGGGGAUGGAAUUCCGCGUGUAGCAGUGAAAUGCGUAGAUAUGCGGAGGAACACCGAUGGCGAAGGCAAUCCCCUGGACCUGUACUGACGCUCAUGCACGAAAGCGUGGGGAGCAAACCGG
rnacentral:rRNA from 1 species